UACGAAGGGGGCUAGCGUUGCUCGGAAUCACUGGGCGUAAAGCGCACGUAGGCGGAUUGUUAAGUCGGGGGUGAAAUCCUGGAGCUCAACUCCAGAACUGCCUUCGAUACUGGCGAUCUUGAGUCCGGGAGAGGUGAGUGGAACUCCGAGUGUAGAGGUGAAAUUCGUAGAUAUUCGACGAAGACACCAGUGGCGAAGGCGGCUCACUGGCC
rnacentral:rRNA from 1 species